UUUCAGUGGUUUCAUCUUUAAAUUCAGCAAACAAUAAGACUUUGACUGGAUUUUUAUUAAGAGUGAUUAUUAUUAUUGUUGAGGUUGCAGUACUGACAGCACCUACUGUUAUUCUUCUCUUGAUCAUCUGUGAAAGGAGAUCUGAGAAGAAGAGAACAACUCACAACAUCUAAACAAUAUAUGCUAUUUUGAGCAAAAACUUCACAUACAUUACUCUGAGGACACCAAAUAUUUAUUUUACAUCUUAAAAAAGAAAUGUCUCCUUUAAAGCAUCCUACCUCUAUUCCUACUUGUUAACAUGGCUUUGUAGACAAUGGUUACUGUUGACCUCUUUUAACAAAAUGUUAAAUGCUCUCUUAUUUGUAUGUCACUUGUAAUUACAAAAGAUUUCUUAAAAAUAAAGGUGAUACAAAAGUUUCUUCGCAGUGAUGUCUUUUUGCUUCCCUAAAGAAACAUUCAAUCCAAGGUUCUUAAAAAACAUUAAUUUUUCACCUUCAUCUUCAGAUGUUAAAUGUUCUUUAUGGAGCCAUGAACCUCCCUUGACUCUUAGAAGGAAAUAACUGAACAAGAAACAUUGAGUCUUUGACUCGGCCCUGACAGUACAGUACUUUGUACUUACUGUAUACAGUUUGGUGUUUCUCUCCAUUACUUUUACUGUACCUGGAUAUUUG